UCUUGGCGGCGAGUGGCGGACGGGUGAGUAAUAUAUCGGAACGUGCCCAGUAGCGGGGGAUAACUACUCGAAAGAGUGGCUAAUACCGCAUACGCCCUACGGGGGAAAGGGGGGGAUCGCAAGACCUCUCACUAUUGGAGCGGCCGAUAUCGGAUUAGCUAGUUGGUGGGGUAAAGGCUCACCAAGGCAACGAUCCGUAGCUGGUUUGAGAGGACGACCAGCCACACUGGGACUGAGACACGGCCCAGACUCCUACGGGAGGCAGCAGUGGGGAAUUUUGGACAAUGGGGGAAACCCUGAUCCAGCCAUCCCGCGUGUAUGAUGAAGGCCUUCGGGUUGUAAAGUACUUUUGGCAGAGAAGAAAAGGUAUCCCCUAAUACGGGAUACUGCUGACGGUAUCUGCAGAAUAAGCACCGGCUAACUACGUGCCAGCAGCCGCGGUAAUACGUAGGGUGCAAGCGUUAAUCGGAAUUACUGGGCGUAAAGCGUGUGUAGGCGGUUCGGAAAGAAAGAUGUGAAAUCCCAGGGCUCAACCUUGGAACUGCAUUUUUAACUGCCGAGCUAGAGUAUGUCAGAGGGGGGUAGAAUUCCACGUGUAGCAGUGAAAUGCGUAGAUAUGU
rnacentral:rRNA from 1 species